rnacentral:lncRNA from 1 species
AAAAGGGUUUGGACAUCAUGAGGGGAGAAUCUGUUACGGGGGAUAAUUUAUUUAGCUUAUAGGCGAAGAAAGGAAGUAUGGCCAUUUCUCAAAUUAGGGCUGGCCAUUGGUUAUUUCAGUCUGCUUUGUUUUAUUCGUUCUCAGUUUUUAGAUGGGAAACCAAGAAGUUCAAUCUUUUUCCAUUUGGAUCGUUUUGACUGUUGGGUUAUUCAGUGUUGGGACUUGGGAUUUUCACUUUGGCUUUAAAUGUUUUCUCUGCUGCUUCCUCAUUAUACCUUGUGGACCAACAGAAUCGAGAGAUAAUCUCUAAGAUAUCCCUUAUUAUCUACAUUUAGUCAUUAAUUGUGCCAUUCAUCGUAUUUCAUGUAUAAAUUUGAAUUUACAUACUUCAAAUGUAUAUUUUUAAUUCUGUUUGUCAUAACUUUAGUUCUCUGCUUUGGGUCGAAUCGGAAAACGAAGUUUUCAAGCGGGUCGUUUUUCGGGUUGCAUAUAACUCACCACUAGCUCAGAUAUUACCUUCUCUAAUUUUAAAGGUCCAAAGGUACUUGGAUGCUCUAGAGUGAAGCUAAAAUGCUGCUUUUGAAUUGUAACCAUGAAACAACAAUGUUAAGUGUCCAACAAAUUCAGAUAUCCCUAAAUUUUCCGUAUAUUGUGAUUGAUAGACGUCUUUACAUUUAUCCAAACA